UACGUAGGCAGCAAGCGUUGUUCGGAAUUACUGGGCGUAAAGAGUGUGUAGGCGGUGCUCUAAGUCUGUCGUGAAAUCUCCCGGCUUAACUGGGAGGGUGCGGCGGAAACUGGAGUGCUCGAGGGUGGGAGAGGAAAGCGGAAUUCCUGGUGUAGCGGUGAAAUGCGUAGAUAUCAGGAGGAACACCGUGCGGUGUAGACAGCUUUCUGGACCACUUCUGACGCUGAGACACGAAAGCGUGGGUAGCAAACAGG
rnacentral:rRNA from 1 species